ensembl:misc_RNA Y_RNA Y RNA
GACUCGUCUGAUGGCAGUGGGUUAUCAGAGCUUAUUAACAUUAGUGUCACUGCAGUUGGUAUACAAACGCCCACUGCUAAAUUUGACUGACUUUA